AUUCGUAUUUACGAUAUUCCCAACAACACGUUUGAUUCGGAAGAUGACGAUGAUGACGAUGAUGAAGAAGAAGCUGAUGAUGAGGAUGAAGAUGAACAAGAGGAGGAAAUUGAGGCAAACAUUUGAUGAUGAUUUGUUGCUGAAGAAUAAAUUCAAUUUCUAUGAAUUAUUACAAGUACAUGAUUUUUUUUCUUGAAUUGUGUAAUUCAAUAUAAGCUUCAAUUAUUUGCUUCGAAAUAAAGAUAUCUUGAAAUGUUCA